rnacentral:misc_RNA from 1 species
UGCGCGAAUACAUGCACACAAGCGUGUCGCUGUGCUCCCCACAAGUCAACGUAACGGCUUUUACAGCGCCUGCACCCCACCUCCACUGCUCGUGAUCAACUUACACACCAACAAAGAAGACAGCAGCACCUGCAGCCUCUUCUCUUCUCUCCCUCCCUCACAUACACACACUCGCACAUAUUCGCACAUACACACGCUGGGCCGGUUUUUCGUGCAUCAGCCAUGCAGUCGGACUUUAACAAUGUGGAGACGGAGCUGCGCGACAUCGAGGAGACCUUCACCACUGGUCGCAUGAACGCCUUCGGCUCCGCCUCCACGCAGGACGCCUUCGUGCAUGAGCUGAAGCGCAUCGCCGAAAUCGAAACCCAAGUAUUCUACCGUACCUGCGCGCUGCUCAAGUCGAGCCACACGAACGAGCACAAACUAGUGACGAACAUGUACGCCAGCGCGCAGCCGCCGCCGCAGUCGCAGCGCUCCGGCCCUGCAACGACGUCGCCCAGCAGCAACCUGGGCGACGGCAGCUUCCGCGCAAACAGCAGCGGCUUAGAGAGCUCGAUGUACCGCGGGUCGAUGAACCAGCGCAGUCAGUCGUCGUUCGCGUCCACUGUGGCGGGAGGCCUUAGUGGCGUGCCACCGUCCAACAGCAACACGCACUCGACAGGCGCCAGCUGGCGGCAGUCCCGCCAAGGUUGGGAGAACGUGUCCGCUGGCAGUCCUUUCCCCGGCGUUGGCGACGGUGGCGCUUCAUCUGGUGCGGCGCCACACAUUCACAGGAGUGAGUGGGGCAAUGAGGACGGCUUUGCUGACAAGGCUUUUGAGGAUGUGGCUGCCCACUUCGAAGAGCUCGAAUCACAGUUCUUCUCCCUCGGCGAUUACCUCCGCGAGAUCUCGAAGCACGUCAUCCGGCUGAACGACAUGUCAAAGCAGGUCAACAACGGUGUGAGCUACGGCGCCAGCGGUGGCGUCACCGGUGCCCCCGCCGCUGCAGCGAACGCGAACGGAAGCAGCAACAACACAGACAUGCUGCAGACUGUGGGCAGCAUGGGACGGCAGGACUACCCUGGCUCCUUUGUCGAUCCCACCAGCAUCGGCGGUGGAAGCGGCUACGGGAUGGACGGCCCACAUUCGUAGACACC